AGCAGUCGCCGCGGUAAUACGUAGGUCCCGAGCGUUGUCCGGAUUUAUUGGGCGUAAAGCGAGCGCAGGCGGUUAGAUAAGUCUGAAGUUAAAGGCUGUGGCUUAACCAUAGUAUGCUUUGGAAACUGUUUAACUUGAGUGCAGAAGGGGAGAGUGGAAUUCCAUGUGUAGCGGUGAAAUGCGUAGAUAUAUGGAGGAACACCGGUGGCGAAAGCGGCUCUCUGGCUUGUAACUGACGCUGAGGCUCGAAAGCGUGGGGAGCAAACAGGAUUAGAUACCCCAGUAGUCCCUGUCUCUUAUACA
rnacentral:rRNA from 1 species